UCGAAGGAUUUGAAGACUUCAACUUGUAUACUUGGAGGAUUUGAAGACUUCAACUUGCAUACUUGAAGGAUUUGAAAACUUUAACU
rnacentral:pre_miRNA from 1 species